GUACUUGGGCACCUUACAAUCCAACACCAUACGUGCUUUGAAAACGCGGGCAGCUGCUUCACAAGGACCCCCCUAUUUUGCAUACAAGUCGACGUGGAUACUACCUGCUGUGACCGCCGUAUCAGAAGACACUUUUCCUGUACGGGCGGAACCAACAACAGCGAAGUUCAAAAAACCCGACUAGUAGCUAAAACUCAGCAUUCAUAGAGUUAAACGUCCCCGUCCGUGACUUGUACAUAACAAUCCAAGCAUCUCCUAAGCGUCUUUCUCCCCCUUCGUAAGGCCAUCGCGUCCACCAACGCACGUCUUACAUCCGCCCAGUACAGUGCCGUUGAAGCUGUGACGAGUAAUAUGAACGCUUAAGUAAUUCAUGAACAUCCGCUGCGUUUGCCUAGCAUUGUCGUAAAGGAGGUCGCGUCGGCAUCAGGCCAUCAACGUUGCGCCCAGGACAACACUUGCUGCAGCCAAGAAACAGAAAGUAUAUCUCUAUUCGUUCAUCCCCUUGGUCUUAGGGUUGCCCCUAAGACGACGUACAUACCACCUCCUGACACCGCCGUACCGGAAAGCACUUUUCCGGUACGGGCAGAGCCAGCAGCAUUCCAGGUUCAGAAUUGAACCCAAAGGCAGAAAUCACCAUUCUGAGAGUUGAACGUCGCCAUCCAUGAUUUAGACAUACCAUUCCAUGGCCUGUGCAUGCGCGUCC
rnacentral:lncRNA from 1 species